GACGAACGCUGGCGGCGUGCCUAAUACAUGCAAGUAGAACGCUGAAGCUUGGUGCUUGCACCGAGCGGAUGUGUUGCGAACGGGUGAGUAACGCGUAGGUAACCUGCCUGGUAGCGGGGGAUAACUAUUGGAAACGAUAGCUAAUACCGCAUAACAGUAGAUAUCGCAUGAUAGCUACUUGAAAGGUGCAAAUGCACCACUACCAGAUGGACCUGCGUUGUAUUAGCUAGUUGGUGAGGUAACGGCUCACCAAGGCAACGAUACAUAGCCGACCUGAGAGGGUGAUCGGCCACACUGGGACUGAGACACGGCCCAGACUCCUACGGGAGGCAGCAGUAGGGAAUCUUCGGCAAUGGACGGAAGUCUGACCGAGCAACGCCGCGUGAGUGAAGAAGGGUUUCGGAUCGUAAAGCUCUGUUGUAAGAGAAGAACGAGUGUGAGAGUGGAAAGUUCACACUGUGACGGUAUCUUACCAGAAAGGGACGGCUAACUACGUG
rnacentral:rRNA from 1 species